rnacentral:rRNA from 1 species
UACAGAGGCCUCGAGCGUUAGGCGGAAUCACUGGGCUUAAAGCGUGUGUAGGCGGACUUCUAAGUACCUUGUGAAAUCCCACGGCUUACCCGUGGAACGGCUGGGUAUACUGGUCGUCUUGAGCCAUCUAGGGGCUACCGGAACAAAUGGUGGAGCGGUGAAAUGCGUAGAUAUCUGGAGGAACACCGGUGGCGAAGGCGGCAUCCUGGACCGGCACUGACGCUGAGGAGCGAAAGCCAGGGGAGCAAACGGG